rnacentral:rRNA from 1 species
CCUCCGGGAGGCUGCAGUGAGGAAUAUGGGGCAAGGGGCGAGAGCCUGAACCAGAAAAGGAGCGUGAGGGACGACGGUCCUACGGAGUGUAAACCUCUUUUGUCGGGGAACAAAGGCGCCCACGGGUGGGCGGAUGAGUGUACCCGAAGAAAAAGCAUCGGCUAACUCCGUGCCAGCAGCCGCGGUAAUACGGAGGAUGCAAGCAUUAUCCGGAUUUAUUGGGUUUAAAGGGUGCGUAGGCGGACAGUCAAGUCAGCGGUAAAAAUGCGGUGCUCAACGCCGUACAGCCGUUGAAACUGGCAGUCUUGAGUGGGCGAGAAGUAUGCGGAAUGCGUGGUGUAGCGGUGAAAUGCAUAGAUAUCACGCAGAACUCCGAUUGCGAAGGCAGCAUACCGGCGCCCUACUGACGCUGAGGCACGAAAGCGUGGGUAUCGAACAGGAUUAGAUACCCGAGUAGUC